UACGGAGGGGGCUAGCGUUGUUCGGAAUUACUGGGCGUAAAGCGCACGUAGGCGGCUUUGUAAGUUAGAGGUGAAAGCCCAGGGCUCAACCCUGGAAUUGCCUUUAAGACUGCAUCGCUUGAAUCAUGGAGAGGUGAGUGGAAUUCCGAGUGUAGAGGUGAAAUUCGUAGAUAUUCGGAAGAACACCAGUGGCGAAGGCGACUUACUGGACACAUAUUGACGCUGAGGUGCGAAAGCGUGGGGAGCAAACAGG
rnacentral:rRNA from 1 species